rnacentral:sRNA from 1 species
GCCAGGCAUGGUGGCGCAUGCCUCUAGUCCCAGCUACUCAGGAGGCUGAGGCAGGAGAAUCGCUUGAACCCGGGAGGCAGAGGUUGCAGUGAGCCGAGAUCGUGCCACUGCACUCCAACCUGGGUGACAGAGCGAGACCCUGUCUCAA